AUGCAGAUGCAUUAACUUUAAAGCUAUUCUAUUCUAUCAUCUUUAAAUAUAAUGAAAGAGAGCAAGAAAUUUAGUUACCAGAUUUAGGAACUUUUGGUCCUUUGGUACAACAUGUAUCUAAAAAUAUAAUGACAGUAAAAUACUAAGCUUGGAUUAAACAUCCAUCAGAAAAAUUUAAAGUUGUGAAUAUUAGUUUAGAUGAAAUGAAUUAAGCGUAUCAAAAGAACAUUAACAUUAACGUAUUACGUAACAGGAUGAACAAGAUAAAAUAGAUUUCGAUAAUCUAACUACGGAUGAUGCAGAUACACAUUUCGAGAUGGUACUUUAACAAUUGAAAGUUUAGAUGGAAAUAAAUUAUAUUUAGAUUCAACGACUGAAUUUAGAAUGUAUACAAUUGUAUCACAUAGUGUCGUUGAAAAUUUUGAAUCGGAUGUGAUCGUUCCUUAUUAGAGGAGAAUAUGAUAUCUAUCUAAUAUAUUUUUAUAUGUUUAAUAUAUAUUCAAUGAUAGGCAAUGACAGAGUGAAAUUAGAUAGAAGUUUGAAAAUGAUAUGAUAAACAAUACGUAAUUGAACAAAUGAGUGAUAAAAAAAAAUUGAAGAUAAAUUUAUAAGCGAAAAUAUAUAAAUCUGAUGAUAUCUUCGUUAACAAUAUUCCUGUGUAUUUAGAAACAUUGAAAAAAAA